GGGCCCUUCGGGAGGGCCCCCCCUCAAUCCUGUCGUGCUUACGUCAGAGGGUUGGGUGGAGGCUCUCCUGAAGGCCUC
rnacentral:pre_miRNA from 1 species